UCCUGGUUAGCUCAGUUGGUGGAGCGUUCCACUGGAAUAGGAGAGGUCCCUGGUUCAAAACAAAGGACCAGAGG
rnacentral:tRNA from 1 species